GACGAACGCUGGCGGCAUGCUUAACACAUGCAAGUCGAACGGAAAGGCCCUGCUUUUGUGGGGUGCUCGAGUGGCGAACGGGUGAGUAACACGUGAGUAACCUGCCCUUGACUUUGGGAUAACUUCAGGAAACUGGGGCUAAUACCGGAUAGGAGCUCCUGCUGCAUGGUGGGGGUUGGAAAGUUUCGGCGGUUGGGGAUGGACUCGCGGCUUAUCAGCUUGUUGGUGGGGUAGUGGCUUACCAAGGCUUUGACGGGUAGCCGGCCUGAGAGGGUGACCGGCCACAUUGGGACUGAGAUACGGCCCAGACUCCUACGGGAGGCAGCAGUGGGGAAUAUUGCACAAUGGGCGGAAGCCUGAUGCAGCAACGCCGCGUGCGGGAUGACGGCCUUCGGGUUGUAAACCGCUUUCGCCUGUGACGAAGCGUGAGUGACGGUAAUGGGUAAAGAAGCACCGGCUAGCUACGUG
rnacentral:rRNA from 1 species